ACUCCCUGGGCUUUUGCCAGCUCUUCUUAGACUGCCCCCUCGAGACCUGCCUGCGGCGGAAUGGCCGGCGGCCGCAGGCCCUGCCGUCGGAGACGAUCCGCCUGAUGGACACGAGGCUGGAAAGACCCGACGCUGGGACCCACGCCUGGGAGCGCCGCAGCCUCACCGUGGAGGGGCCAGCCUGCUCUGCCGAGGCCAGCCUGGAAGUGACUGAUUUAUUGCUUACUGCAUUGGAAAAUCCAGUAAAAUACGUUGAGGAAAACAUGGAACAAAAGGAAGCAGACAGGAUUAUUUGUUCAGCUAAUGUCCUUCAUAGAGCUGAUCAGACACUACGAAGAAUUGUUUCUCUGACGAUGAAGGAAGCAAAAGUACGUUUUCACUCAGUGGCUGCUCUGCACGAGGCCUUAUCCUGGAUGCUGGGGAGCUGCAGGAUUCAGAACAUCUGGAAGGAGAUGAAACAUGAAUACACGUCAGUGCCCUGAAGAAAAUUCGGAAAAACACUGGUUGGCAGUCACCGACGGGUUAGAACCCAAAGGUUGAAAAUGAAGACUGGAGGAGAAAGGGAGUGUCACUGGAGAGCAAAAACAGUUCCAGGAAUUCCGGCAGACACGUGCCGUUCUUCAGUUCUGUCCAGAACACGGAGGGAAGGGAACAGGAUGAACAAGUUCUUCCUUCCAACAUGAAGCUUCUAGCAGAAGAACUUAACAAGCUCAAAGCAGAGUUUCUGGAAGACCUACGACAAGGAAACAAAAAAUACCUGUCCUUUCAACAAACCACGGACUUCUCAGAUGUCAUUUCUGAUUUCCAUUAUGAGAAAGAUAACAUUGUACAGAAGUACUUCUCAAAGCCACAUUAAAUUUUCUGAAUUCCCAAUCAAA